CCCGGCUCGGAUCCCGCGUUGCUGUGGCUCUGGUGUAGGCCGGUGGCUACAGCUCCGAUUUGACCCCUAGCCUGGGAACCUCCAUAUGCCGCGGGAGCGGCCCAAAGAAAUAGCAAAAAGACAAAAAAAAAAAAAAAAAAAAAAAAAAAAAAAGUGGGGCCAACAUGGUCCCAGCCCUCUGAAUUUUUGACAGUUCCUCUUAAAACCAUUUUAUGAAUAUUUUCAGACAGAUGCGCAGAAGUAGAAUAGUACAGUGAAUCGCCCACCACUUAGGUUCAACAAUUAUCCAGACUUGGCUUCAUCUAGCCUCUACUUUUUUGGGGAUCCUGUCUGAAUUUGGGGAGACAGGAAUUAUUACAUCAGCUGCCCUGGUGUUCUGAGCAUGCCCUGAACUGUGUAUACCCUUGGAGGUUUUUUGUUUUUAUUCAGAGCAGCUUGAUGUAUUAUCAUAUAUCGUGAGCAAGUGUCUUUUCCUGCGUGUAUAUGAAAGGGAUCACAGAUCCUUCUAGGUCUUGCGAUUGCAUUGCUUUUAUUGCUGGCUUCCUCUGGCACCGUGUUGACUGUUUCCCGCUCAGUCCUUCCUCAAGGGAGGAGGUUCCCACAGCCGUGGAAGGGACCAGUUCUCCGGCAGCCCAUUGCUCCAGUCCGUUGGUGGUCACCGGACUAUCUGCUUUCUUUUGUAAGGAUGCAGCGAAUCCCUGCUCCUCCUCCCCAGGUGAGAAAUGACCGUCUCCAUCAAUCGUCGCUUUUCCUGGAUCUCCUCAUAGACAGGCUGCCAGCUGUUUUGUUCAUGACUGCUCAUAGGAGGCCCUUGACAAAGGUAAGUUGCCUGAAUGAACGACUACUGUGUACAGGUGAGUACAGGUAUUAACUUUCUAUUCCUGACGGCAUUUUACAGAGGAGGGGCUGGAAGUAUCCUAAGUGUCAGAGCUGGGAUUUGAACCCAGGGUGGACGUCUUCUACUGGCAAGUGUUUCUCUGAUUUCCCUCUUCGCCUGGAGUAUGCACGUCUAGAAUGGCCCGGAAGUGAGUUCAUCCAUCCUGCACCCCUGGUCAGGUGCUUCCCACCUCCCUGGCCCAGGGCCUCAAGGUCCCCGUGUUCGCGUCUCAGGUGUGCCAGCUCUGCCGCGGUCCCAGGCCCUGGGAACGGGUUGGCUUGCGG
rnacentral:lncRNA from 1 species